rnacentral:rRNA from 1 species
CCUACGGGCGACAGCAGUGAGGAAUAUUGGUCAAUGGACGAGAGUCUGAACCAGCCAAGUAGCGUGAAGGAUGACUGCCCUAUGGGUUGUAAACUUCUUUUAUAAAGGAAUAAAACGAGGCACGUGUGCCUUUUUGCAUGUACUUUAUGAAUAAGCAUCGGCUAACUCCGUGCCAGCAGCCGCGGUAAUACGGAGGAUGCGAGCGUUAUCCGGAUUUAUUGGGUUUAAGGGGUGCGUAGGCGGACUGUUAAGUCAGCGGUAAAAGCCCGGGGCUCAACCCCGGCGAGCCGUUGAAACUGGCUGUCUGGAGAUGACGAGAGGUAUGCGGAAUGCGCAGUGUAGCGGUGAAAUGCUUAGAUAUUGCGCAGAACUCCGAUUGCGAAGGCAGCAUACCGGCGGCGAUCUGACGCUGAGGCACGAAAGCGUGGGUAUCGAACAGGAUUAGAUACCCCAGUAGUC